rnacentral:rRNA from 1 species
GAUGAACGCUGGCGGCGUGCCUAAUACAUGCAAGUCGAGCGAACAGACGAGGAGCUUGCUCCUCUGACGUUAGCGGCGGACGGGUGAGUAACACGUGGAUAACCUACCUAUAAGACUGGGAUAACUUCGGGAAACCGGAGCUAAUACCGGAUAAUAUAUUGAACCGCAUGGUUCAAUAGUGAAAGACGGUUUUGCUGUCACUUAUAGAUGGAUCCGCGCCGCAUUAGCUAGUUGGUAAGGUAACGGCUUACCAAGGCAACGAUGCGUAGCCGACCUGAGAGGGUGAUCGGCCACACUGGAACUGAGACACGGUCCAGACUCCUACGGGAGGCAGCAGUAGGGAAUCUUCCGCAAUGGGCGAAAGCCUGACGGAGCAACGCCGCGUGAGUGAUGAAGGUCUUCGGAUCGUAAAACUCUGUUAUUAGGGAAGAACAAAUGUGUAAGUAACUAUGCACGUCUUGACGGUACCUAAUCAGAAAGCCACGGCUAACUACGUGCCAGCAGCCGCGGUAAUACGUAGGGGGCAAGCGUUAUCCGGAUUCAUUGGGCGUAAAGCGCUCGUAGGCGGUCUGUUAGGUCGGGAGUUAAAUCCGGGGGCUCAACCCCCGCUCGCUCUCGAUACCGGCAGACUUGAGUUUGGUAGGGGAAGGUGGAAUUCCUAGUGUAGCGGUGGAAUGCGCAGAUAUUAGGAAGAACACCAGUGGCGAAGGCGGCCUUCUGGGCCAUAACUGACGCUGAGGAGCGAAAGCUAGGGGAGCAAACAGGAUUAGAUACCCUGGUAGUCCUAGCCGUAAACGAUGGACACUAGGUGUGGGGGAGUAUUUCUUCCGUGCCGCAGCUAACGCAUUAAGUGUCCCGCCUGGGGAGUACGGCCGCAAGGCUAAAACUCAAAGGAAUUGACGGGGGCCCGCACAAGCAGCGGAGCAUGUGGUUUAAUUCGAAGCAACGCGAAGAACCUUACCAGGGCUUGACAUUUAGGUGAAGCGGCGGAAACGUCGUGGCCGAAAGGAGCCUAAACAGGUGGUGCAUGGCUGUCGUCAGCUCGUGUCGUGAGAUGUUAGGUUAAGUCCUGCAACGAGCGCAACCCUCGUCGUAUGUUGCCAGCGGUUAGGCCGGGCACCCAUACGAGACCGCCGGCGUCAAGCCGGAGGAAGGUGGGGACGACGUCAAGUCAUCAUGCCCCUUAUGUCCUGGGCUACACACGUGCUACAAUGGCCGGCACAAUGGGCUGCCAACCCGCGAGGGUGAGCGAAUCCCUAAAGCCGGUCCCAGUUCGGAUUGGAGGCUGCAACCCGCCUCCAUGAAGUCGGAGUUGCUAGUAAUCGCGGAUCAGCACGCCGCGGUGAAUGCGUUCCCGGGCCU